rnacentral:rRNA from 1 species
GAUGAACGCUGGCGGCGUGCCUAAUACAUGCAAGUCGAGCGAACAGACGAGGAGCUUGCUCCUCUGACGUUAGCGGCGGACGGGUGAGUAACACGUGGAUAACCUACCUAUAAGACUGGGAUAACUUCGGGAAACCGGAGCUAAUACCGGAUAAUAUAUUGAACCGCAUGGUUCAAUAGUGAAAGACGGUUUUGCUGUCACUUAUAGAUGGAUCCGCGCCGCAUUAGCUAGUUGGUAAGGUAACGGCUUACCAAGGCAACGAUGCGUAGCCGACCUGAGAGGGUGGGCGGCCACACUGGAACUGAGACACGGUCCAGACUCCUACGGGAGGCAGCAGUAGGGAAUCUUCCGCAAUGGGCGAAAGCCUGACGGAGCAACGCCGCGUGAGUGAUGAAGGUCUUCGGAUCGUAAAACUCUGUUAUUAGGGAAGAACAAAUGUGUAAGUAACUAUGCACGUCUUGACGGUACCUAAUCAGAAAGCCACGGCUAACUACGUG